GUCCUUUUGUUUUUUUCUCAACAAAAAAUAGUUAAAAAUGUAGCUUAAAGUCAUUAAAGUGUAAUUUCAUCAUAUAGGCAGAAGCUUUUUUGUUGUUUUAUUGUGUGGUUUCAGAUCCCUAGGAUGGGGUCUGAUGAAAGGUAUCAUCAGUGCUUUGCUGCUAGGAAGUACCAAAAGCACAAUAAGUGAAACAACUUCCAUUCUACCAGGUCACUACUCAAGGAGGUACCUCACCUCGAUAAGAUGGGAGUAAGAUCCAGGGAUGCUCUUUGAAUAUUUAAGAAAAAGGACCGAUGACAUCUAGAAUUAAGGGUAUACAUCAGUGUCAACUAAUUUUUAAUAUCAUACUCUCCAUAAAGAAUAUUUUAAUUACAGGGUUAGUUUUUAUAUAUUACCACUCCCCUAACAUUUUUGGGUACCCUCUGUACAAAAAAGUAGGUAGUAAACGUAAAAUUUUUAGGGCAUAUUUUUGAGAAAUAUAGUUCUUAUGUCUCUAAAUAAUUAAUUUAUAAAUUUGAUAAAUUGUAAUUUUUGUAUCAUAUCCUCAAAAUGUAAAAAGCAAAAUACAUACCAUGGAGUGUUAAAGCAGUGUUGUGCUAAAGCAGCACAAAAACAAAUUGUAUCAGGAUCCCUUUUAAGACAAUAAAUUAUAAACUUAC
rnacentral:lncRNA from 1 species